rnacentral:rRNA from 1 species
GACGAACGCUGGCGGCGUGCCUAAUACAUGCAAGUAGAACGCUGAAGAGAGGAGCUUGCUCUUCUUGGAUGAGUUGCGAACGGGUGAGUAACGCGUAGGUAACCUGCCUUGUAGCGGGGGAUAACUAUUGGAAACGAUAGCUAAUACCGCAUAACAAUGGAUGACACAUGUCAUUUAUUUGAAAGGGGCAAUUGCUCCACUACAAGAUGGACCUGCGUUGUAUUAGCUAGUAGGUGAGGUAACGGCUCACCUAGGCGACGAUACAUAGCCGACCUGAGAGGGUGAUCGGCCACACUGGGACUGAGACACGGCCCAGACCCCUACGGGAGGCAGCAGUAGGGAAUCUUCGGCAAUGGGGGCAACCCUGACCGAGCAACGCCGCGUGAGUGAAGAAGGUUUUCGGAUCGUAAAGCUCUGUUGUAAGUCAAGAACGAGUGUGAGAGUGGAAAGUUCACACUGUGACGGUAGCUUACCAGAAAGGGACGGCUAACUACGUGCCAGCAGCCGCGGUAAUACGUAGGUCCCGAGCGUUGUCCGGAUUUAUUGGGCGUAAAGCGAGCGCAGGCGGUUUGAUAAGUCUGAAGUUAAAGGCUGUGGCUCAACCAUAGUUCGCUUUGGAAACUGUCAAACUUGAGUGCAGAAGGGGAGAGUGGAAUUCCAUGUGUAGCGGUGAAAUGCGUAGAUAUAUGGAGGAACACCGGUGGCGAAAGCGGCUCUCUGGUCUGUAACUGACGCUGAGGCUCGAAAGCGUGGGGAGCGAACAGGAUUAGAUACCCUGGUAGUCCACGCCGUAAACGAUGAGUGCUAGGUGUUGGAUCCUUUCCGGGAUUCAGUGCCGCAGCUAACGCAUUAAGCACUCCGCCUGGGGAGUACGACCGCAAGGUUGAAACUCAAAGGAAUUGACGGGGGCCCGCACAAGCGGUGGAGCAUGUGGUUUAAUUCGAAGCAACGCGAAGAACCUUACCAGGUCUUGACAUCCCGAUGCUAUUUCUAGAGAUAGAAAGUUACUUCGGUACAUCGGUGACAGGUGGUGCAUGGUUGUCGUCAGCUCGUGUCGUGAGAUGUUGGGUUAAGUCCCGCAACGAGCGCAACCCCUAUUGUUAGUUGCCAUCAUUCAGUUGGGCACUCUAGCGAGACUGCCGGUAAUAAACCGGAGGAAGGUGGGGAUGACGUCAAAUCAUCAUGCCCCUUAUGACCUGGGCUACACACGUGCUACAAUGGUUGGUACAACGAGUUGCGAGUCGGUGACGGCAAGCUAAUCUCUUAAAGCCAAUCUCAGUUCGGAUUGUAGGCUGCAACUCGCCUACAUGAAGUCGGAAUCGCUAGUAAUCGCGGAUCAGCACGCCGCGGUGAAUACGUUCCCGGGCCU